CUACAAAAGUUGGAAUAGGAGACGCUAAAUAGAGAACGGUUAAGUUUGUUGAGCGUAUUAUAGGAUUAUAGAGAACGCAUUUCUCUUGUAACAGUUUUGUGAAUAAAAGAAUAGAAAACGGUGAUCUUACCUAACCAUUUUAUAUUAUUUACCAUGAUAAAAUAAAAAAUUAAAUUUAUAAUAACUGAUAAAAUAUAAAGCAGUUUUAUAUUUUAUUUUAUUUUAUUUACCAUACAAAAAACAAAAUUUGUUCUCAUUUACCAUUUUAUAUUAUUAUUUACCGUUUUAUAAUAUUAUUUACCAAAAUAUUUACCAUACAAAAAACAAAAUUUGUUCCCAAAAUAGUUGUAUAUGUAACGUAAAUUAAUGAAUUAAUUCUAAUAAGUUUUUCUUUCCUCCUCAAACAAUUGGAAAACAAGACUAUCAAAGUAUAAGUUGGGCGGAAGAAAACUUUAGCAAUUACUUUGACCCACGCAAAACCAAAAGCCAAAAAUAGCUUCGAUUCUCACGCAAAACCAAGGGAAAAACCGUGCACCACCGCACCGGAUCUCCCAUCCUCUACCGUUGCUCCACUAUAAUGCCGCUCCACUGUAUCGCAACCUCCGAUGAACACCGUCAGUCCCACCGCCGUUGUCAAUUCCGAGGUUUGUAUUUUUUGUUACCUAUUAUUUCUUCAACUAAUAACCCUGGGGUUUAUGAACGUUCGUUAUCAUCAAAUUAUAAUAUAUGAAUGAGGAAUUCUUAUUGUAAACUAUUUGUAUUUCAAUUUUUUGUUUAUUUAUUUAGUCGAAUCUGCAAAAGUUUGUGACUACCUCUUGAAUUUUGUUUCUGAUUGCUAUUAUUUCGCUUGCAGUAACUGAAGAUCGGAUUAAUUUCAUUAUAUCAUUUUUAUCUCUCUGUUUAUAUUCAUUCUGAAUAAUUUUUGUUUCUUCUUUGAAUUAGUAAUUUUUACAUGAAUCUGCAAAAGUUUUGUUGUGAUGUAAAAUCGAGUACUCUCCAUUUUGGUAAAAUUUGAACUAAACGUGAUAUUUGUGGAAAUUGUAGAUUCUCAAAUCAGCAAUUAAACGAUUAUGCGAAUUUUGUAGUAUGAUUUUGUAACAAACUAGGAUCAUUAGUAUGAAACUGCAGUGUACUUUUUUGUGAUUAGUGCUAGUAGUUCUCAGAUAAAGGAGAAGUAAAUUUAGGGGCUAAAUAAGUUGGAAAUGAUUUGUUUUAAUCAAGGUAAGAUCAUUUCUCAGUUUUGAGCGACCUGUGUAUGGUAUGGGUGAAUGAAUUAAACAAUAAUAAUGCUAGCAAUGUAGUUGUUCUCGUCUCGAGUAUUUAACUAAGAUCAAUCUACAUAAUAUGGUACUGCCAUACUGGUAAUUUUUUUAUGCAUGGUUUGUUGUGUGAUUUAUUUUUCUAAUUAAUACAUUGUGCCAAGGAAUCAGGCAUGGUAUUAACAAAUGCGGGUGAUUAUGAAUCUGAGGGUUAUUUUGUAAAUGCAAACCUUGUGCAGGUUAAGGGACAUGUUUGCUUACUGCUAGGUGAAACAUCCAACAAUUAAGGUAGAAAAUAUUCAAGUGUUAUCAAGCACAAGUAUGUAUGGAGGAGGUAAACUCGGAGAGUUUGAUAGGAUUUUACUGUUUAUUGCGUCAUGUGGCUAUUUUCUUGCUUUCGCUUUCUCAGACAAGCCUUUGCAUAUUUAAGCAAUCGAUAGAGUGUGAAAUGGAUGAUUCAGUUCCAGUUUUGGUCGCGUUAUUUGGUUGUAUGGCUGGUUAUUUCUGAGAGUUUUUUGUAUUUCCUUGAGCCUUAUGUCUUUUCUUGUUGAUGAUCUGGUUAACCUUUCUAUUGCCCAUCUACUCUUAUGUAUUUUCAUGAUCUUGGGAUUGUUUCUGAAUCUAGUUUGACGCAGUUUGGAGAUAGAGUGUUUGAUUGCUCUUGGGAUUAUUAAAUUUCUGGACCUGAUUUGAUGAAGUUAAGUAAGUUGAGCUCUAUUUAUUUUCUUUUUUACGCCUUGUGAUUUUUUCUUCUAUUUUCGUUUGACUUGUUUUGAUUUGACUAAGCUCAAUUAUGAUAUAGAUGACACCAUUUUGCUCAUGUGAGCUUUAAUCUUAUGUCUUUUUUUCUUAACCCUAGUAAACCCCCAAUUGUUGUACUUUUUGGUUUGAGUUUAGGUCUUCUACAGGGUAUAGAAAGUUCUGUUUGUUUUGAAUUUUUUCCUAGAUUGAUUUUCAAGGUCAUGAAAGAUUUUUUUAUUUGGUCAAUUCACUUGGUUUUUCCGAUAUAGAUGCACUCCCAAACGGUUAUGUCUAUCACCUUGGUGAUCAGGUCUGGCUAAAACUGGUUGUUAUACAUAUUCAAUCUUUGCACUUGUGUUUAUGUUGAAACAAUACAUGAUGCUAUUUGUGUCUGCCCAUUUUGGGAACUGUUGGCCGAAACCUAUCCGAACUUCCUAGGUUAUAAUAAAAAGCAUCAUACAAAGCCAAUUUACAAUAAAAUUCCAUGACAAGUUAUAUAGCAAAGUAACGUGGCAAGGCAUGCUGUAAAUGAUACUUCUCUUCAAUGUCUUCAAACCAUCAGAAUAUCAGAUACCACAUUCUACUCCCAGAAACUCGUCCCUGAACCCUCUUCCAUCAUCAACUUUUCUUCUUCCUCAUCAUACCCAAGUCCCCAACUAAGAAGAUUCGCAGCAUAAGGCGAGCUCGACAAUACCUCAAAGGCCCUUGUCGCUGGAUUUAUUAGUAGCAACUCUUCUUCUUCAUUCCUGACUAAUUAACAUUUUUAUUUGGUGUAUAUUCCCAUUAUUUACUGUUACAUUUAUGACUCUUACAUUUUAACUUGUCUUGUAGUUUUUUAACAAAGCACCCACGUACUCUAAAAAUACGAUUGACGAGCUAAGGGAGAGAUGGAUCUAAUACGUUACCGAAUAUCACCAACCAAAUUACGAAGAUGAUGAUAAUGAUGAUCUAGUGUGAGUUGGGCUAGCUCAAGGAGAUGAGUCUGUUCCUGCUGCAGACGAUGUUGCUGCAGACGAUGUUGUUGCUGCUGUUACGGUCCUGUUACGCUGCUGUGACGCUGCUGAUACUCGGUUGUACCUGCUGCAGACUCUGUUGUACCUGCUGCAGGGGCUGCUGUUGCUGGAGAAUUUGAUCGCUGUUGCUGUUGAGUUUUUUAUUUUUUUUAUUUUUACAGUGAUAUUGGAUUUCUAUUUUUGCCGUACCUUGUGUAGAUUUUUUUUUUCCGUACCUUGUGUAGAUCAUUUAUUUUGUUAUUGAAUGAAUGAAUAAUAUUAUUUUGUUAUUGAAUGAAAGGAUUUUUGGAAA